CCUACGGGAGGCAGCAGUGGGGAAUCUUGGACAAUGGGCGCAAGCCUGAUCCAGCAAUGCCGCGUGGGUGAAGAAGGCCUGCGGGUUGUAAAGCCCUUUCGGUGGGGAGGAACGGUCUGGUGUGAACAGCGCCGGGCAUUGCCGUUACCCACAGAAGAAGCACCGGCCAACUCCGUGCCAGCAGCCGCGGUAAUACGGAGGGUGCGAGCGUUAAUCGGAAUUACUGGGCGUAAAGGGCGCGUAGGCGGUGCGUGGAGUCAGCUGUGAAAUCCCGGGGCUCAACCCCGGGACCGCGUCCGAAACUUCCGAGCUCGAGGCAGGUAGGGGAGAUCGGAAUUCCUGGUGUAGCGGUGAAAUGCGCAGAUAUCAGGAGGAACACCGGUGGCGAAGGCGGAUCUCUGGGCCUUGCCUGACGCUGAGGCGCGAAAGCUAGGGGAGCGAACAGGAUUAGAUACCCUGGUAGUCCUAGCCGUAAACGUUGGGUGCUAGGUGUGGGCGGACAUCGACCCCGUCCGUGCCGAAGCUAACGCAUUAAGCACCCCGCCUGGGGAGUACGGCCGCAAGGCUAAAACUCAAAGGAAUUGACG
rnacentral:rRNA from 1 species